CUUGAUUUUCUAUAAGAGGUCCAGCCUGCCCAGUGACCAUGUUCAACGGCCGCGGUAUCCUAACCGUGCGAAGGUAGCGUAAUCACUUGUUCUUUAAAUGUGGACUAGUAUGAAUGGCAUCACGAAGGUUAUACUGUCUCCUUUUUCUAAUCAGUGAAACUAAUCUCCCCGUGAAGAAGCGGGGAUAAAAUUAUAAGACGAGAAGACCCUAUGGAGCUUUAAACAACGCAGCAAUUACCAAAGAAUUUUUAAUGUUUCUGUAACACUAACUUUUACAAGUAAAAUGACUGCAAGUUUUUGGUUGGGGUGACCACGGAGUAUAUCAUAACCUCCAUGUUGAAAGAAUUUUUCUAAGCCAAGAAUUACCAAUCUAAGCAUUAACAAAUUAACAUCUAUUGACCCAAUAAAUUUGAUCAACGAAC
rnacentral:rRNA from 1 species